CCUACGGGAGGCAGCAGUAAGGAAUAUUGGACAAUGCUCGCAAGAGUGAUCCAGCCAUGCCGCGUGCAGGAAGAAUGCCCUAUGGGUAGUAAACUGCUUUUGAACUAGAGAAAACCCCAGUACGUGUACUGGGCUGAUAGUAUAGUUAGAAUAAGCAUCGGCUAACUUCGUGCCAGCAGCCGCGGUAAGACGAAGGAUGCAAGCGUUAUCCGGAUUCAUUGGGUUUAAGGGGAGCGUAGGUGGACUGAUAAGUCAGUGGUGAAAUCUCCGAGCUUAACUCGGAAAUUGCCAUUGAUACUGUUGGUCUUGAGUACAGUUGCUGUGGGCGGAAUAUGACAUGUAGUGGUGAAAUACAUAGAGAUGUCAUAGAACACCGAUUGCGAAGGCAGCUCACAAAGCUGUAACUGACACUGAGGCUCGAAAGUGCGGGGAUCAAACAGGAUUAGAUACCCUGGUAGUCCGCACCGUAAACGAUGAUUACUCGCUGCUAGGGGGCAACCUUUAGUGGCUUAGCGAAAGCGAUAAGAAUCCACCUGGGGAGUACGCCGGCAACGGUGAAACUCAAANAGAGUUAGAGCGNGAGAGNGCGACGGACGACGACGAGGGAGGAGG
rnacentral:rRNA from 1 species